rnacentral:rRNA from 1 species
UACAGAGGGUGCGAGCGUUAAUCGGAAUUACUGGGCGUAAAGCGCGCGUAGGCGGCUUUGCAAGUCGGGUGUGAAAUCCCCAGGCUUAACCUGGGAAUGGCAUUUGGGACUGCAAGGCUCGAGUGCGGCAGAGGAGACUGGAAUUCCUGGUGUAGCAGUGAAAUGCGUAGAUAUCAGGAGGAACACCGAUGGCGAAGGCAGGUCUUUGGGCUGACACUGACGCUCAUGCACGAAAGCGUGGGGAGCAAACGGG